AUGGACUCGUUAAGUGCCAGACUCCUAAAAAGUGUCUAUUACCCCAACAGCAACAUAUUGGAGGCAAACCUAGGAAGACACCCGAGUCAAGGAAUAAUUAAGCGCGUUGGUAAUGGUCAGACUACACGUAUAUGGGAAGAUAAUUGGAUUCCCCGAGAUGAAAUGCUGAGACCGUAUGGGUGCCGUGUCGCAGACCCUCCGGAGAUGGUGGCUGACCUCAUAGAUGCUACUACGGCAACGUGGAAUCGGCAGCUCGUUCAACAGGUUUUUAUGCCCAUGGACGCUGAGAUCAUAUUAUCUAUUCCCCUUUGUACACGUAACAUGGCAGAUUUCUGGAGUUGGCACUUCGAGCGUCAUGGAAAUUUUUCAGUUAAAACAGCAUACAACAUGUUGGUUGCAACCAAGCUAAGGCGUGAAGCAUGGCUGAAUGAGGAGGCAGGUCCUUCGAGCUCUACUGCUGAGCAGAAAUUGUGGAAGUUUCUGUGGAAAACAGCUGUACCGGGGAAGGUGAGAAUGUUCCUAUGGCGCUUGUCUAAGCACCCACUGCCGACAAAAGAUGUGAGGGCCCAUAGACACAUGUCAACCACAUCGUCGUGUGGCCUCUGCGGAAUGACGGAUUCAUGGAGACACUCACUUUUGGACUGCACCAUGUUGAGGUGCACAUGGGCUAUUGCUGAUGAGGAGCUUCUACAUAAAAUGUCAACCAACACUGAGCCUAGUGCAAAGACGUAG
rnacentral:rRNA from 1 species